GUGCUUCCUUCAGCAGCACGUGUACUAAAAUUGGAACAAUAGAGAGAUUAGCAUGGCCCCUGUGCAAGGAUGACAUGCAAAUUUGUGAAGCGUUCCAUAUAUAA